rnacentral:tRNA from 1 species
UCCCUGGUGGUACAGUGGGUAAAACUCUGAGCUCUCAACGCAGGGGGCCCAGGUUCGAUCCCUGGUCAGGGUA